UGUGGUGAGCCGAGAUCGCACCAUUGCACUAUUCCAGCCCGGGCAGCAAGAGCGAGACUCCAUCUCCAAAAAAAAAAGAAUGAUGUAGCUAUGCAGGAUGUCUUCUUGUGUUUGAUACAUAAAGUGUGGAUAUGGAGCUAGAGCAGACAUGAGUUAUGACUGUACUUGAAGAUGAAACUCUGUGCAGUAUGAAGGGUUUCAAAACCGUGUUGGACAAACAUAAUUUCUGCCCACUUUGGAGACAUUUUAGACCUACAGGAUCAACGAUUUGUUUGAUUCUGUUGGGUUCUCUUUGCCAUCAAAAUAAAUUUCAGUCUCAUAAUCUGUCUCUAGUCUCCCUCACCACCUCCUUCUUCCAUGCUUCAGUUCAUUUGAAUACAUAUUAAGUACCCACCUCGCCCACCAUCACAGUGCUGCUCACGUGGAAUUUUCAUAUUCUAACGUCCUUUUGUGUUCUCGCCUCCAGGUUCUCUCUCACAUUCCCUCUUCAUUAUCCAAACUCCUAUAUCUCUCUAGGAACCACCUCUAUGUUACAUCCGUAAACUGUCCCUGGCGCCCUCUCUCUAUUACCUCUUGGACAUAACUAAUUGUUCUUUGUGCUGUAAUCCCAUUUCAUACAUCUAACCUUUAUUAGCAUUUAUUACAUCUUACAAUCAGACAGACAAAGUGAGGUACCCCCACUGAGUUACUUUCUCAUAGAGAUUAGGGAAUGAAUCUUAGUCAUUUCUGUGAACCCAUGGCACUGUUGUCAGUGCUUGAGCUUUUUUUUGUCAGUGCUUAAGCAAUUCGUUUAUAUUACAUGAAUGAAUUCCUAGCUGAAGAAUGGCAGUCCAGUUUUACCCUGCAUAGCAGCUCAGCUAUUGGUAAUGCCUGUCUGUGUUGGAGAUGAUUCAGAGCGGUGUCUGGGUUAGUGGGAAGUGCAAUGAUUGCUAGGUGCAGGGUGUAACAAAAUGCGGACUAGGUAUUUUCCACCCCAUGCUGAAUUAAUCAGCUAAGGCUUUAUGAAAUAUGAAUCUAAACUGGCUCAGGCAUUAUGUGCUGAAUGAGAAACAGAAGGGAGAGAAUUUUUCUGUUAGAUGCUGUUGUAUUUGGCAUGUCUGUGGUAACCCGUGUUUGGGGGAGAAUCAGAGGUUGAAUAGGGAUGUCCAGGUGUCAAGUCUGAUGGGCUGCAAAUGAGGCCUGGUAAAGAAUGAUGAGACCCUCUGACAGCAAAUCCUGUGUUUAGCUCCCAUUGGGCAGUGUCUUGACCCUUUUUAGCUUAAUCCUAUCCUCCCCUUUAGAGUUUCUCUUCCAACCCUACGGAAACAAGCACCAUCCUAUAAAUAGGAAGCCUUUCUUGGGCUAGCCAGGGCUUUCAGCAUAUUCUAGGAUUUUCCCCUAUUUGGGGCCCUAACACUGCCACACAGAAGCUGCACUGUGGUCUGUCCCAUACCUUUCUAUUAAUGAAUCAUACUGAACAUAUUUAAAUUCCAGAGUCUGCUUUUUUUUUUCUCCUGACAAGUUUAAUGCCAAGAAAAAUGGACAAGUAUUCAGGUAUUUUCUAGAGGAAAAAGAAAGAGUCCAGGUGAAAGUAUCACAUUGAUUAUUUGAGUGCAAGUGGUUUAGAGAGCUGCCUAGAGGGGGAAAGCUGAAGAAUUUUAAGUUGUCAAGUUACUAGAGAAGACUUUAAGAAACAGACUAAGGUGUCUCAUAUUCUGAUAUAGUAAGAACUAUCCUAAUAUUUUUACAUAAUUUUCAGCAGAAAGAGUGUAUCUUUCUUUUGUAAUUAAAUUUUCUUGUUUGUUUUUGAGACAUAGUCUCGCUCUGUCGCCCAGGCUGGAGUACAGUGGUGCAAUCUCCACUCACUGCAAGCUCUGCCUCCCAGGUUCACGCCAUUCUCCUGCCUCAUCCUUCCGAGUAGCUGGGACUACAGGCACCCGCCGCCACACCCAGCUAAUUUUUUGUAUUUUUAGUAGAGACGGGGUUUCACUGGGUUAACCAGGAUGAUCUCGAUCUCCUGACCUCGUGAUCCGCCCGCCUCGGCCUCCCAAAGUGCUGGGAUUAUAGGCGUGAACCACCACGCCUGGCUGUAAUUAAAUUUUUAAAUUAUAUAUACAUACUUUUUUUUCUCUGAUGAGCAGUUUAUUUCUGGCAUUGGCCCUUUCUGAAUUGUAGUAUCCUCUUUUUCCUCUUUCCCUCUCCACUGUACUUUUAAACUUUACAUGUGGUCGAUGAUGCACACCUUUAAUCCCAACACUCUGAGAGGCCAAGGUGGAAGGAUGGCUUGAACCCAAGAGUUCAAGACGAGCCUGGGCAAGAUGGCAGGAUCCUGUCUCUAUAAAAAAAAAAUCUUAAAAAUUAGCCAGGCAUAGUAGUGUGCACCUGUAGUCCCAGCUACUUAGUAGGCUGAGGCAGAAGGAUCCCUUGAGCCCAGUAGUUUGAGGAUAUAGUGAGCUGCAAUCAUACCACUGCUCUCCAGCCUGGGCAACAGAGCAAGACACCAUCUCUUUAAAAAAAAAAAAAAAAAAAAAAACUUCACAUGUGGAAGCGUGGUCUGAGGAAAGCCUACCCUUUCUACCUGCUGGGGGUUGGCCAGAUUUGACAGGCCACCUCGCCAAUUAGCCCCAAGUCAACAAGCAGCUCUGUUACAUAAGGCUCCUAGUUCCUGCCAAAUGUUGCCAUGCCAGAGUAAGGAGAGGGCAAGGAACUCCUCCAAAUUUAGCAUCUAAUUGGCAGCCAUCAAGAGUGAGGCCUUGAAGUGUAAACCCUUGGAGAUCUGAGAUUCUGUCUUUUAUGUGCCUGGGAAAUGUAUCCUCAGAAAACUGCUUUUCAGCUUGGCCUGAAUUUGGCAAAUCUCUCCUUUCUACUAACUAAUAACUUACAGAUCACCUCCUCUUAUUCAAACUUGAAACUAUAUAUAGUCCUGUAGACUACAGGAAGGCUGGCCAGUCUCUUGGCCAAGAGUGAUUUAUUCAGCCCAUUGACUUCAUGAGAUUCUGUUUUGAUGAUGAGUAUACUUGUAAUAACAAUAGCUAUAAUUAAUUCUGUGUGCCAGGCACUUUGCGUAUAUUACCUCAUUAUUUUUCUCAACAAAAUUAUGAGAUCAAUAUUUUCUCCAUCACUGUAACUAAGAAGCUUAGAGAAGUUAAAUGAUCUGCAAUUAUUUAACUUCUCUGAGCUAAGCUUACUUAGCUAGUAAAUAGCUGCACUGAGACUUGAACCCCAGUCUUUCUGACUCCAGAGCUCAUACUCUUUUACUGUGCCACACUGCCAAUAAUUGAAUUAAUGAGGACCACCUUUUUGUGCGUGACAGGAAAGAAGACAGUAGGAAGGGUAUGAGUAUCAGAGCCAAGGAGUCUAGACUGAUGGAGUUCCUGCUUCUCCUCCAUCUUGCUCAGAGCUUAGUUUCUAUGGAGCCUAGCUGAUGACAGCUAAAUAGUAUAAUUAAGAAGCUCUUGUUUAUUUGCAUUUUAGACCAAAAGUGUAAUGUUGGAUUAGAACUAGGCAUUUUAUAAUCCAGUACUGGUGAAUGUACCAUUUUUAUGAUCAAGUACUGGUGAGUUGUUGAUUGCACAAAACAAAAUAUGUAAAUAAUUUUAAAUACCUGCAUCAAAACCACCAGCCCUUUAUAUUUACCAACAGAUAAAUUUUACUUCAUCAGAUUAAGAUAAUAGACCCUUUAUUUUUAGCCAGUAUAUUUAUGGAUGGUUAAGUGAAAGUAAAAUACGGGAGUAUAUUAAGAGCUCCAGAGUCUUGGGUUCAGCUCUGUAGUUUCUGUGGCUGCUGAAGAGGUGGUCAGGAAUAUAGGAACCCCCUGCUGGGCUCCUGGUCACUUCUGUCUGCUCCAUGGCAGGAAGCCUUCAGCACAAGACAUCAAGGCAAGCUUGAAUAAGAAAAACAAUUUCUUCUUCCUAAGCCAUGUCAUAUCAGUUAUACAGAAGUACUACUUUGGGAAACAGUCUUCAGGAGAGCCUAGAUGAGCUCAUACAAUCUCAGCAGUUCACUCAACUUGCCCUUCAAGUUUUACUUCAGUUUGAUAAGGCUAUAAACGCAUCAUUUUGGCUCAGAGGGUUAGGAACAGAGUUGAUUUCAGUGGCUCUCUAAAUACAUACAGAUUCUGCCAUAUAUUCUGUGAUAAUAUGUAGACUUUUAUAUUCAAUGAUAUUGAAUUACAAAAGGUGAUAGAACUUAUUAAAGUGGAUAAAGUGAAAAUUAUGGCCUGUGAUGAUAAAAAUACUGGCUGUAAUACUACCGAAUGAAUAGGAAAAAAAUCACGUUUUUAUGACAUCUUCUGUUACUAUUCAUCACUUUUGAAGAGAAAUGUAAAAAUUUUUUUAUUCUAGCAUUGCAGAAAUUACAUUGUGUUAUUUUGGUAUUUCGGUAGUUUUCAGUAGUAUUCAGAGUAUUUCAGUAGAAAGAAAUUUAAAACUCUAUAGCCUCUUAUAUUACCUUUAUUAUACAGCAUGAAAAAAACAUGAGACAGGAUCUCACUCUGUCACCCAGGCUGGAGUGCAGUAGUGCCAUCUCAGCUCACUGCAGCCUCUACCUGCUGGACUCAGUCAGU